rnacentral:rRNA from 1 species
UACAGAGGUCCCAAGCGUUGUUCGGAUUCACUGGGCGUAAAGGGUGCGUAGGUGGUCAGGUAAGUCGCGUGUGAAAGCCCCCGGCUCAACUGGGGAGGGUCACGCGAUACUGAUCGACUCGAAGGCAGGAGAGGGUAGUGGAAUUCCCGGUGUAGUGGUGAAAUGCGUAGAUAUCGGGAGGAACACCAGUGGCGAAGGCGACUACCUGGCCUGUUCUUGACGCUGAGGCGCGAAAGCUAGGGGAGCAAACGGG